rnacentral:rRNA from 1 species
GACGAACGCUGGCGGCGUGCCUAACACAUGCAAGUCAAGGCGGUAGCAAUACCGACUGGCGCACGGGUGCGGAACACGUAGGUAAUCUGCCCUUUAGGGGAGAACAACUCAUCGAAAGGUGAGCUAAAUCUCCGUAAUGUUUUACUAUGGCAUCAUAGUUCAACCAAGUUUUCUUAAGGGAUGAGCCUGCGUCUGAUUAGCUAGUUGGUGAGGUAACUGCUCACCAAGGCUACGAUCAGUAGCUGGUCUGAGAGGAUGAUCAGCCACAUUGGGACUGAGACACGGCCCAGACUCCUACGGGAGGCAGCAGUGAGGAAUAUUGCUCAAUGGACGAAAGUCUGAAGCAGCAACGCCGCGUGAGGGAUGAAGGUGCUCUGCAUUGUAAACCUCUGUAGUCGAAGAACAAAAACGGGUUACUACCCGUCUGAUGGUAUUACGAAAAGUAAGGAGUCGGCUAACUACGUGCCAGCAGCCGCCGCCGU